UGAAUCUGACUUUAAACCGGUUUAACACAAACAUACAAUUACAAUAAUCAAUACCAGGGUACAUGUAUCAUGCUGGAAAAUUACGAAUGUGUCAGACGAAUUAUUUUGUUUUUCAUAGAAGAUAAACAAAAUCAUCGAGCUUUGUAGAACGAUGAAUCAGAAUGACUGAAUGACACUAAGUUUUGCAAAAUGGAUAUAUCCCUAACUUCCAUGGCCUUCGACAUAUUUGAGUGGGAUCCUGAAACAACCCCUGACACAACAACUUAAUUUACAAGAACAACCCUGCGUAUAAGAACUUCAAUACUUCUGACAAAAACAAACAAAAGCAACUCCAGAUUUAUGAACAACUCUGAUUACUAGAACAUGAACACCAACCCCAUCUUCAAGAACAACAACUUCAACCCCAGAACAUCAACACUUCCUGCAGGGACAACUACAAAAACAUCGGCUUCAAGAACAAAUUCAUCCUAAACAAAACAUCAGCAACAACAGCUACCCGAAAAAAACUACUCGAACUACAAGAACACCAGCAACACACUCUUUAAGAACACCAGCAUCAUCAUCUUCUUCUAGACUUGCAAAUGCAACAAACACCAAAGACAAAGUUGAAUGGCUAACUUCAAUGGAGAGGACAGAGUAAUGGCAAAAAGAGGAUCAUUUUAAAGAGAGGAGGAAGAGGGAUAUGUAAAGAGUGUUCUGAGGCCAGGAUAUCAGCAGUGCGUUCAGUCAGGCGAGCGUUUACAAAACGCUCGCAAACGUUUUGUUUUGUAUCUCUGUUGCAACGCAGCGCAUAUACGUUAAGCGGGAAACCAAACAGCAAACGUUCGCCGCAAACAUCUUUACUGAACGCGUUGCAGAUUCAUG